rnacentral:rRNA from 1 species
CCUACGGGAGGCAGCAGUGAGGAAUAUUGGUCAAUGGUCGCGAGUCUGAACCAGCCAAGUCGCGUGCAGGAAGACGGCCCUAUGAGUUGUAAACUGCUUUUGUACGGGGGUAAACUGAGUCACGUGUGACUUUUUGAAAGUACCGCAUGAAUAAGGAUCGGCUAAAUCCGUGCCAGCAGCCGCGGUAAUACGGAGGAUCCGAGCGUUAUCCGGAUUUAUUGGGUUUAAAGGGUGCGUAGGCGGCCGGUUAAGUUCGCCGUGAAAUUCCGGGGCUCAACCAUGGAACUGCGGCGGAAACUGGUUGGCUUGAGAGCGCGGGAGGUAGGCGGAAUGCGUGGUGUAGCGGUGAAAUGCUUAGAGAUCACGAAGAACUCCGAUUGCGAAGGCAGCAUACGGGAGCGCUACUGACGCUGAAGCACGAAGGCGUGGGGAGCGAACAGGAUUAGAUACCCGAGUAGUC